GCGGCGGAGGGAAGAGAAGUUAAGAUCGUCUCUUCCUUUCAGGAAAAAAAUCCUAAAAAGGAAGGUGUUCCUAUUCUCUGCCAGACUCUGUGCUACUGACCUACCUCCCUACAAAGUGAAAACUGACUCCAGUCCUCCUCUCUGGGACUCCUCCACCAGGGCUGGGCAACACCCAGCUCCACCCGACUCAGUCUCAUCACGGCCCUCGGAGCUGGCUCUCACACACUGGUGUGUAUCCUUACACUCGUGACUUCUCAGUUAGUCCUGACUUCAUGUUGUGUGCCCCAGUGCCAAGUCAGUCACAGCUGUAUUGGACAGACAAAUACACAGAAGACAGAUAAACAGACAACUACAAUGCAGGAUGGAGAAACAGCGCCACUCGGGAGGCAGAGGCAGGAGGAGCUCUGUGAGCUCCAGGACAGCCUAGUCUACAGAGUGAAUUCCUGGCCACCCAGGGCUACACAGGGAGAUCCUUCAAGUGGUCCUGGGAGAUGGCGCUACAGGUAAAGGGUCUCAUAGUCCAGGCUAGCCUUGAACACUCCUGUGUAGCUGUUAUGGAGCCUUGAAGACCCCUGGGAAAAGACCCGAGGCUCAAGCUGGAUUGUAAUUGGUUAAACUUCUUGAAGCUCAUAGCAAGACGGCCAUCUCUGAAUCAAACUGGAGACUGCUACUCGAAGUAGUGCGAGGGGAGGAUCUUGAAAGACAGAAACCACAAGAAGACUUGGAGUAUCUGCACAAGCAAGCCAACAGCUGUUCUGCUCUGCCAAGAUUCAAGGUGACCUCCAAAUAGUCCUCGACUGUCUGCCUAGGCACGUUACAGAAGCCAAACAAACAGUUAGCUGUACAAAAAGAUGGUCGCGGCUGUACACUGCUGGGUGGGGGGCACUGGGUACCAAGAUGGACGCCUAGCAUAAAAUGGAAUGUGAUUUUGUUGUUGUUUUUUGUUGUUUUCCCCUGGGUAGCCCUGGCCGUCCUGGAACUCACUCUGUGGUCCAAGCUAGCCUUGAACUCAGAGAUCCACCUGCCUCUGCCUCCUGAGUGCUGGGAUUAAAAGCAUGUGCCGCCGCUGCCGCCGCCGCCACCACCCAGCAAAAAUGAAUCUUUUAAUAAAUUAACAUAAAAUGUUAAGAUCACUAUAAUCCUAUACUGUUAAAUAAUCCUAUAUUGUUAAAGACAAUAAAGGGCAGGGUUUUGUUGAGAAGCCCCUGCCCACAAGUGAGUAUGCUUUA